GUAAAAAGCAUGCAGAUCUGCUGGUACAUUGGCAAUUUAGUUUAUACUUUUUUUCUUUUUUUGAGUUAUGCUUAGCACACUGUUCACUUCAGAUUUUUUUUUUGGGUUCAUAUUUCAUAAUGGAUACUCUUAUUGAUAGGAAAUCAGCAAUCAACAGCAUGAUUAUCUUCUUUAUCAUAAUGUUGAAUUGAAAUCUAAAAAUUCAUUAGAAAUUUCAUUCGUAUUGGUAGUUUGACGUAGGUGAUUACAUUGAAUUUCUGGUUUUCUAAAGAUGAAGCAUUUUUCUUUUUAUCCUGGCUAACUGGUUUUUUUAAUGCUAUCUUUCAUACUAAAUACUUAUGCCUAUCCCACCUGUCUAUAUUGCUGCUUUACAUUUCUUAAAUACUGCAGAAAUGUGGGUCUCAUGGGAUAUAUUGUGUAUUCAACUUAACAACUAACAAGGUUCUAAGUCUCACUAAUUUGGACAGAAUUUGAAUCUUUCUUUCGUUCUUUCUUCUUCUUCUUCUUCUU
rnacentral:misc_RNA from 1 species